GUAAACGGCGGCCGUAACUAUAACGGUCCUAAGGUAGCGAAAUUCCUUGUCGGGUAAGUUCCGACCCGCACGAAAGGCGUAAUGAUCUGGGCACUGUCUCAACAAUAGACUCGGUGAAAUUGUAGUACCGGUAAAGAUGCCGGUUACCCGCAGCAGGACGGAAAGACCCCGUGGAGCUUUACUGUAGCUUGAUAUUGAAUUUCGAUGUUGCAUGUACAGGAUAGGUGGGAGACAGUGAGUACAGUACGCCAGUAUUGUAGGAGUCAUCGUUGGGAUACCACCCUUGUAAUAUUGAAGUUCUAACCAUGUAGCGUUAGCCGGUACUGGGACAUUGUCAGGUGGGCAGUUUGACUGGGGCGGUCGCCUCCUAAAGAGUAACGGAGGCGCCCAAAGGUUCCCUCAGCGCGGACGGAAAUCGCGCGAAGAGUGCAAAGGCAGAAGGGAGCUUGACUGCGAGACAAACAGGUCGAGCAGGUACGAAAGUAGGGCUUAGUGAUCCGGUGGUUCCGAGUGGAAGGGCCAUCGCUCAACGGAUAAAAGCUACCCCGGGGAUAACAGGCUUAUCUCCCCCAAGAGUCCACAUCGACGGGGAGGUUUGGCACCUCGAUGUCGGCUCGUCUCAUCCUGGGGCUGAAGUAGGUCCCAAGGGUUGGGCUGUUCGCCCAUUAAAGAGGCACGCGAGCUGGGUUCAGAACGUCGCGAGACAGUUCGGUCCCUAUCCGUCGUGGGCGUAGGAAAUUUGAGAGGAGCUGUCCUUAGUACGAGAGGACCGGGAUGGACAAACCUCUGGUGCACCAGUUGUACUGCCAAGUGCAUAGCUGGGAAGCUAAGUUUGGAAGGGAUAAGAGCUGAAGGCAUCUAAGCCCGAAGCCCCCCUCGAGAUGAGAUUUCCCUCGCAAGAUAAGACCCCUUGAAGAAAACGAGGUAGAUAGGCUCAAGGUGUAAGUGUAGCAAUACACUCAGCUAGCGAGUACUAAUAGGUCGAAGACUUGACCAA
rnacentral:rRNA from 1 species